ACAACAAGCAAACUAGAAUCUGGUUUAGCUUAAAAAGGAAAGAAAUGAAAAGUUCACUAGCCUUAAUCUUUAAAUUUGGGUUGAAAAUAAUUUAACCUUAGUUUAAACACCUCACAAGACCUUAAAUUUGGAGUACAUGUAUAUGUCCCUUGUUUGAGUUGAUAAAUUUGAUAAAUCUCGAAGAGAAAUGUAAGAAAGAAUUGCUGGAAUUUCACAUCUUGUUUGAUAAGCUAAGGAACUUGGUUUCUAGUGAUUUAAACCUUAAAUUGGUGAGAUUUUAACGCUUAAAACUUCUCUCCUUACACUUUAGAAUUUUAGAACUUAUGUUUGGGGCUGCACAUAAAAUUCCUAAUCUAAAAAGUAUGAAUCAAAUGGGAGUUUUAAGAGUACUAGACUGCUUGGAUUAGUUGAACUAUGUUUAGAGAAUCCUAAAACUCUAAAUAAACUUAUUAGAAUUCACAUUAAGAAUACCUGAAUGAUUGUAGUUGUAUUUUACCUCAGGAAUUGAGAGUGAUCAAGGGUUUAACCCAGAAAGC
rnacentral:lncRNA from 1 species